UGGAAAAAGAUCUGAAAACACAAUCUUGGUACAGAAGAAAGUAGUAAUCUCCCUAAUGGGAAGCUAUGAACACUGGCAACGGCCUUAAUUCAAAUAUCUUCCUGAUUCCUCUUCAAAAAUGAACAGAGGAAGGGAUAAUGAAACCUCGACUAUUACCAUAUGCCAGUGAUCUCAUCAUGUCAGGAGAAAUGGAUUCUCAAUUAAAAAGAAGUGACAUCCAACGUAACAGCAAAGUUUCUGAAUGAUCACUUCAUAUGAAGGUCACCUCUGUUAAGAAACACAAGGCCCUUGGCACUGAACUUUUGGGAAUGUGCCCACAUCUGCCUCUGAAUGUCUGCCUGCCUACCUUUGAUGCCGCAUUCAACACCUAACUUAAAGCAGUGCUUGAUACAAAAAGCUUCUCAGAGCACAAUGGGUCCAGCUCACCAGUCAGUCGCCUCAAUGAUAAAUAUGAGCAAAAAGGCCUGAAAAUCCCAAAUAGUUCAAUAUUCUAAGGCAGGCCUAACCGAUUUUCAUUUGGGAGAGGAAAAAGAGCAGUGCUUUC